GUUUCGUUCGUUCAUGUUGGUAUUUUUUAAGGAAAAUUAACUUAGGAUGUUUAUACUUCAAUUCAAAAUUUGAAUUCUGAAUUAAAAUAUUUGUUGCACAUUUUGUGGUCGAUCAAAUUAAUAUGUUUUGACUUCAAAUCUUCCGCUCAUCUAUGUUGAUCGCAAUAUUUUUCUAACCCUCAUCCAUAAUACUUUUGAAUUCUACUCUACAUCUUCCAGGUUACUGUUGUCUUAAGUAAAACAAAGUUCAGUUUUGUAUCUGGUUAUCAUUCUUAGUAUUUGUUUUGCAAUUUUCAUGUUCAUUUGUUUACAAAUGAUGAUAAAUUUAUUUAAGUUUUUUUAAACUCUACUUUUGAUUUCUUUAAACUUUUUAAUUGAUUCUAUGUUCAGUAGAAGGAUUUUACGUUGAUGUCCAAGUCAAAAUCGAGUAGCCACGAAGGUACGUUGAUUUCUGAUUCUUUCAUCGUUUGAUAUUGGUGUGUUCUCCAAGCUUAUCCAGAAUGGAUUGUUAUUCCUUUUUUGCUAUGUCCAAAUUUCUGUUGAUAAAUAUCCAAACUAGAUUGUUACUCCUUUUUUGCUACGUUCAAAGCAAUCCAGGAACAUGGUCAAGGAUAGGCACUUGACACCUUUGCACAGAUCUAAGAACGUCAUGAUGCAGUAAAAUAAGUAGAAAGGAAGCUACCUGAGUUGCAAUAAGGUUAUAUAAUUUAUUAAAUGAAACAAAGGCUUAAGCUCAAAUAUCGGUGUCUUCUAGGGAUGAAAUGAGUAAGUUAUAUGAUAACAUAAACGCCAACAUUUGACAAGAGAUUUUGUCUAUUGAAGGUGUAUGUUUUAAGAUCAAUCAAUGAUGAGGCAAACGAUAAAGUAUUGGAAGUCGAGCAUAUAUAUAACAAGGUUCGGAAGCCUUUGUACGAUUAUCACAGUGACAUCAUUUAGUCAUUACUGACUUUUGGUUAAGUGUUGUAAGUCAUCAUAAUUUUCUACUUCAUGUUUUUAUUUUAUUCAACAUUUUUUAUUAAUAUGAAUCCUAUAAUUUUGAUUAGAUAGUAGGACAUAAUCACUUUUAACU